AAUGAACGCUGGCGGCGCGCCUAAUACAUGCAAGUCGAGCGAGAAGACGUAGCAAUACGUUUGUAAAGCGGCGAACGGGUGAGGAAUACAUGGGUAACCUACCCUCGAGUGGGGAAUAACUAGCCGAAAGGUUAGCUAAUACCGCGUACGCUUCUUGGACUUCGGUUCAGGGAGGAAAGCGAUACCGUGGGUAUCGCGCUCUUGGAUGGGCUCAUGUCCUAUCAGCUUGUUGGUGAGGUAACGGCUCACCAAGGCUUCGACGGGUAGCUGGUCUGAGAGGACGAUCAGCCACACUGGCACUGCGACACGGGCCAGACUCCUACGGGAGGCAGCAGUAAGGAAUAUUGCGCAAUGGGCGAAAGCCUGACGCAGCGACGCCGCGUGGGGGAGUGAAGGUC
rnacentral:rRNA from 1 species